rnacentral:rRNA from 1 species
UACGUAGGCAGCGAGCGUUGUUCGGAAUUACUGGGCGUAAAGAGUGUGUAGGCGGUGCUCCCAGUCUGUUGUGAAAUCUCCCGGCUUAACUGGGGAACUGCGUCUGAUACUGGAUGGCUUGAGUUUGGGAGAGGGAUGCGGAAUUCCAGGUGUAGCGGUGAAAUGCGUAGAUAUCUGGAGGAACACCGGUGGCGAAGGCGGCAUCCUGGACCAACACUGACACUGAGGAGCGAAAGCCAGGGGAGCAAACGGG